rnacentral:tRNA from 1 species
GUUGUAGUCUACUUAGUUAGGAUACUCGGCUCUCACCCGAGAGACCCGGGUUCAAGUCCCACAUAAACA